UACGUAGGGACCAAGCGUUGUUCGGAUUUACUGGGCGUAAAGGGCGCGUAGGCGGCAAUUCAAGUCAGUUGUGAAAUCUCCGAGCUUAACUCGGAACGGUCAACUGAUACUGUUUUGCUAGAGUACAGAAGGGGCAAUCGGAAUUCUUGGUGUAGCGGUGAAAUGCGUAGAUAUCUGGAGGAACACCGGUGGCGAAGGCGACAUCCUGGACCGGUAUUGACGCUGAGGCGCGAAAGCCAGGGGAGCAAAGCGGG
rnacentral:rRNA from 1 species